GAACUCUCCUCCAGUCCAGGGGAAAGCGAGCGUGUGUGUGUGUGUGUGUGUGUGUGUUUGAGGGAGAGACACAUACAGAGAAAUAGAGAUGGGGGAAGGAGAGGGAGAAAGAAAGGGAGAGAGAGACUUCACAGUGUGGGGUGGGGAAGGGAGCGUCACCAAAAUUAAAACUUGAAAAAACCGGACCUAACCCAAAUACCAGUAAGAAACGACCGACCUUGGUGCUCAGUGAUCCAGCCAGACGACUCAAAUACCAGCUGGUUGGCACCCCCCCAGUGGGGGAGGGGGAUCUCAGGACGUGCAAACAAGUCUAACUACAUCAUUUCAACAUCCUCAAAAUUGGUCAAUCCUGUAUCCCUCUCUACAUUGGAGGACCCACCUAAAUGUGGUAUGCCUCAUUUCCGCCUUCCUAGAAGCAGCCACGAAAACACCCCCAGGGGCUUAUAGCUAAUUGCCUGAAACAGAGUGAGAAACUGAACGAAAAGAGGCAAAGCCAUAAUCUUCUUCCUACUCCUCUUGCCUCCACACCCUUAAUCAAAUCCUGACUUUCCAGUGAGCCAGCUUUUGGAAAAUUAUAAUUGCUGCCAGAGAAACAGCCUGUAAAGUAGUCGAACAAUGAUUACAGAAAAGAUUAACAGAUGAUAUUUUUCAAAAGAAAUAAAUUCUUCAUGACUGACUUGUAUGGAUGUAAAGGAGGCCACUUUGUUGGUUAAACCCAGAUGACCUGAGAUAUCGCUCCCAGCUGAAAACGGAGAUAAUUAGGAAGACGUGUUAAUCUUUCUCCCUCCUCCGUGUUCCUUCUUUGCAACUUUGCUGCCAUUUUUCCAGACAUCAUAAUUUCAUAGUCUUGGGAACAUGAGUCAGAAACCUAGGUACUUGCUGUACUUUUCUGCAGAAAUACACAGAUAAAAUUGUCUUUUGCUUUUGGAUUUUAAAAAGGCAAAUAAUUAAACUGUUUAUUGUUACUAAGGUUUUAUCUUCCCUAAUGUAGCCCUGAUUUACAAAUUACUUUUAUCACUUCAUUCCCUACUGAAAUGUAUUUCUCAGUUCUUUGUCAAAGAAUUAACCUAAAUAGGUAUCUUCACUAAAGCAAAUGUGUAGAGUUAAAUGUCUGGUGUCCCUUAUCUCCCAUCACUCUUCCCGCUUUGUUGCACUGGUGGAGUCUCCAUUCAUAUUUGUAUGACUGAAUGGAUUCCUUAGAUUGCGUUUCCCCAUAGAAUCAAUGUUAUAAUCGCUUUUUAUUUUUCAAAAUUCAGGCACAGAUAGUUUUCAACAUUCAUCCUUACAAAACCUUGUGUUCCAAAUUUUUCUACAUUCCUCUCUUCCUCCCUUAGACACAAAUAAUCCAAUAUAGGUUAAAUAGUGCAAUGCUUCUAAACAUAAAAUCAAUGUUUAUAUAAAAACAUUAUUUAGGUAGUUUAAGUUUUGAACCUAAAGUUAAUAAAACUAUGAGUAUGAAUGCAUACUACAUUGAUUUGGGUCAGUUCACUUAAUCUCUGAAAUUUGAGUUUCUCUUUUGUAAAAUGGGAAUAAUAAUAUUUGUAUAUACUUAGAAGCCUACAUGUUGUUUCCACAAAUAAAAUGCAAGUUCCUUGAUAUCUGUAUCCCUUAUACAUAGUAUAGUCCCUAGCACAUAGUAUGAGCUUAAUAAAUGAUCAUUGAUAUAGCUUAUAGUAUGUUUGAAACAUACUAUUUUUGUACAUAUUAAAAUGAUGGAAAAUAAAUCUCCAAUUUACCCUAUAUAAUCUCUUGUUUGUACAUAAUGGCUUGCAAGUGUCUCCUAUUAGCAUGAAUUCCUUUAGAGGAAUAGUUUUUUUGCUCUUCUUUGUAUUUUCAUUAAGUUGAAGCACAGUAUCUGGCACAUGGUAGGCACUUAAUAAAUGCUUAUUAACUAACAAAUUAUUAUAAAAAUGUGAAUUAUUUUUGACACAUUAUGGGUGGACUGGCCUACGUACCCAAUCAUGAAGAAUUUGUUUUUAUGAGAAAAUACACUAAAGCUAAAACAUGCUAUAGAAACCUUUUCCCUCUUCUGAAUUCUAAGUAACCUUGAAGAAUACUAAACAGUUUAGUAAUUAUUUUACUAAAGCCAUCGUUCCUGGGUGUCACUCAUGAAUUCACUCUUUGCUAGAUGUGUAAAUAUAAAAAGCUUGAAGACUUUAGGCUUAACUGAGCAGCCAUAGUAUUCUCUUUACUUAUAUAACUUUCCUUGUUUAAAAGUUUUUCUAAGACCCAAUGUCUUAGGACAUUGUGUAACUUCAGAGUAAAUAUAGAGGUAGAGAAUUCAAGCAUUUGAAUUUCCUAAUUCGGACCUCUAAAUAAUUAAAAACAUUAAUAAUACACAUUGGACAGAUUAUAAUUGAAUAUAUUGAAAUUAAAGAAUUGCUUUAAAAAAUUAUUACAAACUAGGGUCAGUCAGGGAUCUGUUUUGUUGAGCCAAAGUUACAUUUUGAUGUCCUGACCUAGUUUCCCCAAUUGUCCUAUUUAGUUAUUCUGUCUCAGGUUAUAACCUUUCCCUCUUAAUGUUUGAGAUAAAGGUUUUAUAUAUUUAGGUUAUAGACAUUCCUUCUUAAUGUUUGACAAGAUAAAGGUUUAUCCAUUUUAGAUGUCAUUAGAAUAUCAGUAACCCCCCUCCAUUGUGUCAUCCUAGGGGCUUCCCCCACCAUUAGGUUAUCCCCAUCUAGGUGCUUCCCCCACUAUGACAUUGUUCUUGUUAUCCUAUAAAAAAGCUUGCUGUCCCGAUACUCGGGGCUAGACUCUUUGAGAUGAUAGUCUGGUAUAGCCCUGGGAUCAAACAUGGAUCCAUUGGUCCCAGUAUUUCUCUCCAUUUAAUAAAUUUUUGAAUUGGACUCUAA